UACGUAGGGUGCAAGCGUUGUCCGGAAUUAUUGGGCGUAAAGAGCUCGUAGGCGGCUUGUCGCGUCGGCUGUGAAAACCUGGGGCUCAACCCCGGGCCUGCAGCCGAUACGGGCAGGCUAGAGUUCGGUAGGGGAGACUGGAAUUCCUGGUGUAGCGGUGAAAUGCGCAGAUAUCAGGAGGAACACCGGUGGCGAAGGCGGGUCUCUGGGCCGACACUGACGCUGAGGAGCGAAAGCGUGGGGAGCGAACAGG
rnacentral:rRNA from 1 species